rnacentral:rRNA from 1 species
UACGAGAGGCCCAAACGUUAUUCGGAUUUACUGGGCGUAAAGGGCGCGUAGGCGGCCGCCUAAGUCAGACGUGAAAUCCCUCGGCUCAACCGGGGAACUGCGUCUGAUACUGGGUGGCUUGAAUCCGGGAGAGGGAUGCGGAAUUCCAGGUGUAGCGGUGAAAUGCGUAGAUAUCUGGAGGAACACCGGUGGCGAAGGCGGCAUCCUGGACCGACACUGACGCUGAGGAGCGAAAGCCAGGGGAGCAAACGGG